rnacentral:rRNA from 1 species
GACGAACGCUGGCGGCGUGCCUAAUACAUGCAAGUCGAACGCUGAAGCUUGGUGCUUGCACCGAGCGGAUGAGUUGCGAACGGGUGAGUAACGCGUAGGUAACCUGCCUGGUAGCGGGGGAUAACUAUUGGAAACGAUAGCUAAUACCGCAUAACAGUAGAUAUCGCAUGAUAGCUACUUGAAAGGUGCAAAUGCACCACUACCAGAUGGACCUGCGUUGUAUUAGCUAGUUGGUGAGGUAACGGCUCACCAAGGCAACGAUACAUAGCCGACCUGAGAGGGUGAUCGGCCCCCCUGGGACUGAGACACGGCCCAGACUCCUACGGGAGGCAGCAGUAGGGAAUCUUCGGCAAUGGACGGAAGUCUGACCGAGCAACGCCGCGUGAGUGAAGAAGGGUUUCGGAUCGUAAAGCUCUGUUGUAAGAGAAGAACGAGUGUGAGAGUGGAAAGUUCACACUGUGACGGUAUCUUACCAGAAAGGGACGGCUAACUACGUG